rnacentral:rRNA from 1 species
UAGCUAGUUGGUGAGGUAAAGGCUUACCAAGGCGACGAUCUGUAGCGGGUCUGAGAGGAUGAUCCGCCACACUGGAACUGAGACACGGUCCAGACUCCUACGGGAGGCAGCAGUGGGGAAUUUUGGACAAUGGGGGCAACCCUGAUCCAGCCAUGCCGCGUGAGUGAAGAAGGCCUUCGGGUUGUAAAGCUCUUUCGGCCGGGAAGAAAUCGCAUGGGCCAAUACCCUGUGUGGAUGACGGUACCGGAAUAAGAAGCACCGGCUAACUACGUGCCAGCAGCCGCGGUAAUACGUAGGGUGCGAGCGUUAAUCGGAAUUACUGGGCGUAAAGCGUGCGCAGGCGGUUUUGUAAGACAGGCGUGAAAUCCCCGGGCUUAACCUGGGAACUGCGUUUGUGACUGCAAGGCUAGAGUACGGCAGAGGGGGGUGGAAUUCCACGUGUAGCAGUGAAAUGCGUAGAGAUGUGGAGGAACACCAAUGGCGAAGGCAGCCCCCUGGGUCGAUACUGACUCUCAUGCACGAAAGCGUGGGUAGCAAACAGGAUUAGAUACCCUGGUAGUCCACGCCCUAAACUAUGUCAACUAGGUGUUGGGUGGGUAAAACCAUUUAGUACCGUAGCUAACGCGUGAAGUUGACCGCCUGGGGAGUACGGCCGCAAGGUUAAAACUCAAAGGAAUUGACGGGGACCCGCACAAGCGGUGGAUGAUGUGGAUUAAUUCGAUGCAACGCGAAAAACCUUACCUACCCUUGACAUGCCAGGAACUUGCCAGAGAUGGCUUGGUGCCCGAAAGGGAGCCUGGACACAGGUGCUGCAUGGCUGUCGUCAGCUCGUGUCGUGAGAUGUUGGGUUAAGUCCCGCAACGAGCGCAACCCUUGUCGUUAAUUGCCAUCAUUUAGUUGGGCACUUUAACGAGACUGCCGGUGACAAACCGGAGGAAGGUGGGGAUGACGUCAAGUCCUCAUGGCCCUUAUGGGUAGGGCUUCACACGUCAUACAAUGGUCGGUACAAAGGGUUGCCAAGCCGCGAGGCGGAGCCAAUCCCAGAAAGCCGAUCGUAGUCCGGAUUGCAGGCUGCAACUCGCCUGCAUGAAGUCGGAAUCGCUAGUAAUCGUGGAUCAGCAUGUCACGGUGAAUACGUUCCCGGGUCUUGUACACACCGCCCGUCACACCAUGGGAGCGGGUUCCGCCAGAAGUAGGUAGCCUAACCGCAAGGGGGGCGCUUACCACGGCGGGGUUCGUGACUGGGGUGAAGUCGUAACAAGGUAGCCGUAGGGGAACCUGCGGCUG